AUUGAACGCUGGCGGCAUGCCUUACACAUGCAAGUCGAACGGUAACAGGUUAAGCUGACGAGUGGCGAACGGGUGAGUAAUGUAUCGGAACGUGCCCAGUCGUGGGGUAUAACUGCUCGAAAGAGCAGCUAAUACCGCAUACGACCUGAGGGUGAAAGCGGGGGAUCGCAAGACCUCGCGCGAUUGGAGCGGCCGAUAUCAGUUUAGGUAGUUGGGUGGGUAAAGGCUCACCAAGCCGACGAACUGUAGCUGGUCUGAGAAGGCGACCAGCCACACUGGGACUAGGGCACCGCCCAGAGCCCUACGGGAGGCAGCGGUGGGGAAUUUUGGACAAUGGGCGCAAGCCUGAUCCAGCCAUGCCGCGUGCGGGAAGAAGGCCUUCGGGUUGUAAACCGCUUUUGUCAGGGAAGAAAAGGUUCUGGCUAAUACCUGGGACUCAUGACGGUACCUGAAGAAUAAGCACCGGCUAACUACGUG
rnacentral:rRNA from 1 species